rnacentral:rRNA from 1 species
UGGGGAAUCUUGCACAAUGGAGGAAACUCUGAUGCAGCGAUGCCGCGUGAGUGAAGAAGGCCUUUGGGUUGUAAAGCUCUUUUGUCGGGAAAGAUAAUGACUGUACCCGAAGAAUAAGGUCCGGCUAACUUCGUGCCAGCAGCCGCGGUAAUACGAAGGGACCUAGCGUAAUUCGGAAUUACUGGGCGUAAAGCGCGCGUAGGCGGUUAAGUAAGUUAAUUGUGAAAGCCCAAAGCUCAACUUUGGAAUUGCAAUUAAAACUACUUAGCUAGAGUUUAUCAGAGGAAAGCGGAAUACAUAGUGUAGAGGUGAAAUUCGUAGAUAUUAUGUAGAACACCAGUUGCGAAGGC